GAGAAAACAUACACCUGUGAUGAGUGUGGGAAGGAAUUUACUGGGAAGGCUGAACUAAAACGGCAUCAGGUCAUCCACACUGGAGAGAGACCGUUCAGCUGUGACUUGUGUGGAAAGACUUUUUCCUGGAAGGGUUACCUAAAACAACACCAACUCAUCCACAGUGGAGUUAAAGCGUACAGCUGUGACAUUUGUGGAAAAACUUUCAGCCAGAGAGGAACCCGAAAUACACACCUACGCAUUCACACCAGACAUGAUGUGUACUGCUGUGAACAAUGUGACAAAUACUUUGCUACAGACGCACAGUUACAACAACACACGUUUACCCACACUGAGGGACGACCUUAUAAAUGUGACCUGUGUGAGAAAACCUUUAAAUCUCCACUUAACCUGAGACAACACCAACAGAUUCACACCAGAAAGAGACUCUACAAGUGCAGUUACUGUGAGAAGCAGAGCGACACAGAUGGAUCCAGUUCUCAACCCUGUCAUCACUGUGGUGGUGGGAAAGACUUUCGUUGUGACCUCUGUGGAAAAACUUUCAGUUGGCAAAUUACCCUAAAAACACAUCAACGUAGACACACUGGAGACAAACUGAAAUACUGCAAAGAAUGUGGGAGAAGCUUCACCAGAUCAUGUGAAUUAAAACAACAUGAACUGAUUCACAGUGGGGUUAAAAAGCACGUUUGUGAUCAGUGUGGGUCAUCCUUCAACUCUGCAUGGGGGCUUAAAACACACAAACGAGUCCACACAGGAGAGAAACCAUACAAGUGCAGACACUGUGACAAAAGCUUCUCAUGUUCAAGUAGUCAAAACAAGCAUGAACGUGCACACAUGGAAGGAAACUACAGCUGUGACCAAUGUGACAAGAGCUUCAGGAAUCUCAGUUCAUACUCCACACACAAACGAUCCCACGUUACUAAUAAA